UACGUAGGGGGCAAGCGUUGUCCGGAUUUAUUGGGCGUAAAGAGCGUGUAGGCGGCCAGGUAGGUCUGCUGUGAAAACUCGAGGCUUAACCUCGAGCUGUCGGCGGAAACCAUCUGGCUAGAGUCCGGAAGAGGAGAAUGGAAUUCCCGGUGUAGCGGUGAAAUGCGUAGAUAUCUGGAGGAACACCGGUGGCGAAGGCGGCAUCCUGGACCGACACUGACGCUGAUGAGCGAAAGCCAGGGGAGCAAACGGG
rnacentral:rRNA from 1 species